rnacentral:rRNA from 1 species
UGCUGGAGGUAUCAGAAGUGCGAAUGCUGACAUAAGUAACGAUAAAGCGGGUGAAAAGCCCGCUCGCCGGAAGACCAAGGGUUCCUGUCCAACGUUAAUCGGGGCAGGGUGAGUCGACCCCUAAGGCGAGGCCGAAAGGCGUAGUCGAUGGGAAACGGGUUAAUAUUCCCGUACUUGGUGUUACUGCGAAGGGGGGACGGAGAAGGCUAUGUUGGCCGGGCGACGGUUGUCCCGGUUUAAGCGUGUAGGUGUGUGUUCCAGGUAAAUCCGGUUCACUUUAACACUGAGGCGUGACGACGAGGCACUACGGUGCUGAAGCAACAAAUGCCCUGCUUCCAGGAAAAGCCUCUAAGCAUCAGGUAACAUCAAAUCGUACCCCAAACCGACACAGGUGGUCAGGUAGAGAAUACCAAGGCGCUUGAGAGAACUCGGGUGAAGGAACUAGGCAAAAUGGUGCCGUAACUUCGGGAGAAGGCACGCUGACACGUAGGUGAAGUGAUUUACUCACGGAGCUGAAGUCAGUCGAAGAUACCAGCUGGCUGCAACUGUUUAUUAAAAACACAGCACUGUGCAAACACGAAAGUGGACGUAUACGGUGUGACGCCUGCCCGGUGCCGGAAGGUUAAUUGAUGGGGUCAGCGCAAGCGAAGCUCCUGAUCGAAGCCCCGGUAAACGGCGGCCGUAACUAUAACGGUCCUAAGGUAGCGAAAUUCCUUGUCGGGUAAGUUCCGACCUGCACGAAUGGCGUAAUGAUGGCCAGGCUGUCUCCACCCGAGACUCAGUGAAAUUGAACUCGCUGUGAAGAUGCAGUGUACCCGCGGCAAGACGGAAAGACCCCGUGAACCUUUACUAUAGCUUGACACUGAACAUUGAGCCUUGAUGUGUAGGAUAGGUGGGAGGCUUUGAAGUGUGGACGCCAGUCUGCAUGGAGCCGACCUUGAAAUACCACCCUUUAAUGUUUGAUGUUCUAACGUGGACCCGUUACCCGGGUUGCGGACAGUGUCUGGUGGGUAGUUUGACUGGGGCGGUCUCCUCCUAAAGAGUAACGGAGGAGCACGAAGGUUGGCUAAUCCUGGUCGGACAUCAGGAGGUUAGUGCAAUGGCAUAAGCCAGCUUGACUGCGAGCGUGACGGCGCGAGCAGGUGCGAAAGCAGGUCAUAGUGAUCCGGUGGUUCUGAAUGGAAGGGCCAUCGCUCAACGGAUAAAAGGUACUCCGGGGAUAACAGGCUGAUACCGCCCAAGAGUUCAUAUCGACGGCGGUGUUUGGCACCUCGAUGUCGGCUCAUCACAUCCUGGGGCUGAAGUAGGUCCCAAGGGUAUGGCUGUUCGCCAUUUAAAGUGGUACGCGAGCUGGGUUUAGAACGUCGUGAGACAGUUCGGUCCCUAUCUGCCGUGGGCGCUGGAGAACUGAGGGGGGCUGCUCCUAGUACGAGAGGACCGGAGUGGACGCAUCACUGGUGUUCGGGUUGUCAUGCCAAUGGCACUGCCCGGUAGCUAAAUGCGGAAGAGAUAAGUGCUGAAAGCAUCUAAGCACGAAACUUGCCCCGAGAUGAGUUCU